CUGUCUCAGUUCGGAUUGGAGUCUGCAACCCGACUCCAUGAAGCUGGAUUCGCUAGUAAUCGCGCAUCAGCCACGGCGCGGUGAAUACGUUCCCGGGCCUUGUACACACCGCCCGUCAAGCCAUGGAAGCCGGGGGUGCCUGAAGUGCGCUGCCGCAAGGAGCGCCCUAGGGUAAAACCGGUGACUGGGGCUAAGUCGUAACAAGGUACC
rnacentral:rRNA from 1 species